rnacentral:lncRNA from 10 species
GCGGAAGUUGCAGUGAGCCGAGAUUGCGCUACUGCAUUCCAGCCCGAGUGACAGAGCGAGACUCCAUCUUAACAACAACAACAAGACAAACGCACAAGAUUUGGGGACUCAGCCAGGCCGGGGUUUGGUUCUUGGUUCUGUCACUUGCUAGCUCAGUGGCUUUUGGCAAGUCAGUUUAUCUGCAGCUUCGUUGCUACCUCUACAUUAUGGAGAUGAAAGUGUCCACCUCCAAGUGUGGUUUUGAAGAUUCAAUGAGAUAAUGUGAAUAAAGUGUGUAGCGAAGUGUUUGGCACAAAGCUAAUAUUGAGUCAUUUAUUAUUACCACGGACAUUAAUAAUCAGAGGAAAAUAAGUUUUAAAGGUAAAACUUCUUUUGCGAGAAACCCUCAUGGACACAGGCAGCGGAGUGGCGAAGCGAUCCCUGAGGUCAGGUUCUGAGUUCAGAACCAGGGCAAAGCACAGAGCAAGCGGCACUCAAGUCUUCCCAGUGAAGAUGCUUUUGGUUGCAAGGAGCAGAAACUCUCUCACUGAGCUGGAGUCCUGAAUUCGUUAUGAUAUCAGGUGUCAGGGAAACCAGGCCAAGAGAUGCCACCAGCUUUCAUGAAGCACCAGUACAGAAAUAUGGACGCCAAUACCAUGACCCUCUCUUCCCAUCUCUUCCCUCUCCUUUCCUUCUACACCUGCUCUGUGCCCCAGGUCCACAGCAUGGCUGCUUUAGGGCCUGGUUUGUGGACAAUGAGAAAUGCUGCCAAGUUCCGGGCUUGCUCUUUUCUCCUCUCUGCUCAGGCCUCUCCCUCCUCCUUCAUGAUUUAGGCUGCUUUAGGCCAUGCAGCUGUGGUAAGUGUCCUAGGGUCACUCAUGGCUGUCUGGCAAAUGGCGGCCUUCGGCAGCACUUAGGUCCGAAAACACAAAGGUUGGCCUAAGAAAACCAUAAUUAACUACACACACACACACACACACACACACACACACACACACACACACACUCACUAGAAAUAAAAGACUAGUGUCUCUUUUAAUUGUCAUUUUUAUAGCUCCCCACCGCAGCUGCCCCCCACCCUUC